GAGGCUAUAAGGAGUACCAGUACUGAGUCAAUGUGCAGGGUACCAGGUAGUUGAGGUAAUAAUGAGACUAUAAGGAGUACCAGUACUGAGUCAAUGUGCAGGGUACCAGGUAGUUGAGGUAAUAAUGAGACUAUAAGGAGUACCAGAACUGAGUCAAUGUGCAGGGUACCAGGUAGUUGAGGUAAUAAUGAGACUAUAAGGAGUACCAGUACUGAGUCAAUGUGCAGGGUACCAGGUAGUUGAGGUAAUAAUGAGACUAUAAGGAGUACCAGUACUGAGUCAAUGUGCAGGGUACCAGGUAGUUGAGGUAAUAAUGAGACUAUAAGGAGUACCAGUACUGAGUCAAUGUGCAGGGUACCAGGUAGUUGAGGUAAUAAUGAGACUAUAAGGAGUACCAGUACUGAGUCAAUGUGCAGGGUACCAGGUAGUUGAGGUAAUAAUGAGACUAUAAGGAGUACCAGUACUGAGUCAAUGUGCAGGGUACCAGGUAGUUGAGGUAAUAAUGAGACUAUAAGGAGAACCAGUACUGAGUCAAUGUGCAGGGUACCAGGUAGUUGA